rnacentral:pre_miRNA from 1 species
UACGUACUCCCUCCGUCCCAAAAUUCUUGUCUUAAAUUCGUCUACAUAUAAAUGUAUCUAGUCACGUUUUAGUAUUUACAUGCAUCCAUUUUUAGAUAAACUUAAGACAAGAAUUUUGGGACGGAGGGAGUAUAUG